rnacentral:rRNA from 1 species
UACAUAGGUGACCAGCGUUGUCCGGAUUUACUGGGCGUAAAGAGCGCGCAGGCGGUCGUUCAAGUCGAGUGUGAAAGCCCCCGGCUCAACUGGGGAGGGUCACUCGAUACUGAUCGACUGGAAGGCAGGAGAGGGAAGCGGAAUUCCCGGUGUAGUGGUGAAAUGCGUAGAUAUCGGGAGGAACACCAGUGGCGAAGGCGGCUUCCUGGCCUGUUCUUGACGCUGAGGCGCGAAAGCUAGGGGAGCAAACGGG